rnacentral:rRNA from 1 species
GGCGGCAUGCUUUACACAUGCAAGUCGAGCGGCAGCGCGGGGGCAAACCCUGGCGGCGAGCGGCGAACGGGUGAGUAAUGCAUCGGAACGUGUCCCGUAAUGGGGGAUAACGCCGCGAAAGCGGCGCUAAUACCGCAUACGCUCUACGGAGGAAAGUGGGGGAUUCGCAAGGACCUCACGUUAGGGGAGCGGCCGAUGUCCGAUUAGCUAGUUGGUGGGGUAACGGCCCACCAAGGCGACGAUCGGUAGCUGGUCUGAGAGGAUGAUCAGCCACACUGGGACUGAGACACGGCCCAGACUCCUACGGGAGGCAGCAGUGGGGAAUUUUGGACAAUGGGGGCAACCCUGAUCCAGCCAUGCCGCGUGCGGGAAGAAGGCCUUCGGGUUGUAAACCGCUUUUAGUCGGGAAGAAAAGGCGCGAGUUAAUACCUCGUGUUGUUGACGGUACCGGCGGAAUAAGCACCGGCUAACUACGUGCCAGCAGCCGCGGUAAUACGUAGGGUGCGAGCGUUAAUCGGAAUUACUGGGCGUAAAGCGUGCGCAGGCGGUUCGUUGUGUCGGUGGUGAAAGUCCCGGGCUUAACCUGGGAAUGGCCAUGGAAACUGGCGAACUGGAGUGUGGCAGAGGGGGGUGGAAUUCCGCGUGUAGCAGUGAAAUGCGUAGAGAUGCGGAGGAACACCGAUGGCGAAGGCAGCCCCCUGGGCUAGCUCUGACGCUCAGGCGCGAAAGCCUGGGGAGCAAACAGGAUUAGAUACCCCGGUAGUCCACGCCCUAAACCAUGUCAACUGGGUGUUCGGGAAGCGAUUUCUGAGUACCGUAGCUAACGCGUGAAGUUGACCAAGAGUUUGAUCAUGGCUCAGGGUCCACUUAACGCGUGAAGUUGACCCGCCC